AGUGAACGCUGGCGGUAGGCCUAACACAUGCAAGUCGAACGGCAGCACAGUAAGAGCUUGCUCUUACGGGUGGCGAGUGGCGGACGGGUGAGGAAUACAUCGGAAUCUACUUUUUCGUGGGGGAUAACGUAGGGAAACUUACGCUAAUACCGCAUACGACCUACGGGUGAAAGCAGGGGAUCUUCGGACCUUGCGCGAAUGAAUGAGCCGAUGUCGGAUUAGCUAGUUGGCGGGGUAAAGGCCCACCAAGGCGACGAUCCGUACCUGGUCUGAGAGGAUGAUCAGCCACACUGGAACUGAGACACGGUCCAGACUCCUACGGGAGGCAGCAGUGUGGAAUAUUGGACAAUGGGCGCAAGCCUAAUCCAGCCAUACCGCGUGGGUGAAGAAGUCCUUCGGGUUGUAAAGCCCUUUUGUUGGGAAAGAAAAGCAGCAUGUUAAUACCCCGCUGUUCUGACGGUACCCAAAGAAUAAGCACCGGCUAACUUCGUG
rnacentral:rRNA from 1 species